GAAGCCUGAUGCAGCAACGCCGCGUGAGUGAUGAAGGCUUUCGAGUCGUAAAGCUCUUUGAUCAGGGAUGAUAAUGACAGUACCUGAAAAACAAGCCACGGCUAACUACGUGCCAGCAGCCGCGGUAAUACGUAGGUGGCGAGCGUUGUCCGGAAUUACUGGGCGUAAAGGAUGCGUAGGUGGAUAUUUAAGUGGGAUGUGAAAUCCCCGGGCUCAACCCGGGAACUGCAUUCCAAACUGGAUGUCUAGAGUGCAGGAGAGGAAAGCGGAAUUCCUAGUGUAGCGGUGAAAUGAGUAGAUAUUAGGAGGAACACCAGUGGCGAAGGCGGCUUUCUGGACUGUAACUGACACUGAGGCAUGAAAGCGUGGGUAGCAAACAGGAUUAGAUACCUUGGUAGUCC
rnacentral:rRNA from 1 species